rnacentral:lncRNA from 1 species
UUCUUCCCCUAAAGGGGAACUUUAGUUCAUCCCCUUUAGGGGAACUAAAGGGGAAGAAGGCUUUGGGGUUCUUCCCCGAAGGGGAACCCCCUUCGUCUCCCUCCCCUUUAGGGGAAGAAGGGGAACACCCCUACGUCUUCGUCCCCUUUAGUUCCCCUAAAGGGGAUGAACUAAAGGGGAAGAAGUCCCCUAAAGGGGGAAGAAGGGGGUUCCCCUUUAGUUCCCCUAAAGGGGAAGAAGAAGAAGAACUAAAGGGGAUGGAAAACAAAGUCCCUACUUGUUCUUUAUUUUAAUGAUGACAACCCUUUGGUUUUCUGUCCCCUUUGUUCCCCUUUAGGGGAUGGGGAACAAGUUUGGUGGUCCCCCUUUGGGUUCCCCAAAGGGGAUAACCAAAGGGGAACCCAAAGGGGACAACCAAACUCUUAGAGCCCUUCCCUUCCCCUAAAGGGGAAGACAANCCUUCGGGGUUAGACUAAGUUUGUUGUCUGUCCCCUUUAGUGCUCGUCCCCUAAAGGGGAACCGAAGGGGUUCCCCUUUAGGGGAAGACUUUGGGGUUCUUCCCCUAAAGGGGAACUUUAGUGUUCUUCCCCUUCGGGGAUGACUUUGGUUCAUCCCCUUUAGUUCUUCCCCUAAAGGGGAACUUUAGGGGGAUGAACUAAACGGGACAACCCUAAAGGGGACAACCCUAAAGGGGACGAUGUUUUCCCCUUCGGGGAGACGAAGGGGAUAAACCAAUUUUGGAAACCCUUUACGGGGGGAUGAACUAAAGGGGAUGCCCUUUCGUAAUCGUCCCCCUUUGGCGCUCAAGAAGGGAAGUCUUCCCCUAAAGGGGAACCCCUUUGGUUCUUUCGGGGUUGUCCCUAAAGGGAAUGUAUUCCCCUUCGGUUACCCUUUAGGGGAUGAGCUCUUCCCCUUUAGGGGAACUAACGGGGAAGAAGGGGGAAGGUCACCUUCGUCCCCCUUCGGGGAAGGUAACCCUAGUGGUUCCCCUAAAGGGGAAGACAAGGAAAGGGCGAUGCCCCUAGGGUCACUUAACGCCACUAUGUACGAAAUCGGAUGUGGAACCAUGAAGGAAGGUUCAAGAGCACUUGAACCAUCCUACGUAGUUAGCGAACGAAUUUGAGGGGGCCUAGCUCGAAUAAAGGUUAGCCCUUUAGGCCACGACGUUUGUGUAACUAUAUUUAACCGGCCUAUAACUAGAUCAUACAACAUACCUUUACUACAUAAUGUAAGCUACUCGGUAUUAUAUCUGUGAGAAGUGCUACAAGAUCGAAGCCAUAAGCAACUCACAACGUCAUAUAGCGAAAUAACAUGUAACGUACGUAAGUGCUAGAGUAAAACUACCAAAGCCAACUUAGGUGAUACUCACCGUGAGCUACUUAUCUACGUUUUUAAAUAAAAAAAUUUAAAGUAAAAACAAAAAUAAAAUGUUUUAUAUAUACGCCACACAUGUGUGGCGUAAGGUAUUUUACGUAGUUAAACGAAAGUAAGAAAUAUUGAAUUCGCUAUCUAGUAGCAAGCCUAGCUAGCGAACUACAUACAAUGUGGCCCUAUUAUAUACUUAGUUGUAGCUUAAGUAGCUGUACUGUGUUAAGAGGUCCGUUGGUACAACUUGGUCUUGUGGUAAUUGGAGCUUGGUUGUCUUCUUCNGGGGAACUAAACGAACACUUGUGAGGGACCUUUGGCCCUCACAAAUGUCCCUGGCCGUUGCCGUGAUGC